UUCCAUUCAGCACAAGGUGAACUUUGCCAUUUGCGGUGGCAUUCUCCAAGGAGAGGAUGGAGUCCACCGCCUCCUUAAUUCUUUCAUCUGGGAAAUCAAAGCCGCUCGGACUUCCCUAGUCCACCAAAACUUGGCUUGCAAUGCCAUGAGGGGGCGUCAGGGAAGUAGGCUUAGGUAACUUAAGAGCGGUAGCUUUCUCUUUCCUCCUGGAAGGAAUCAACUUGGUAGUGGUGAUUUUGACCACUUAGAUAGCUUUGGACUGUGUGGAGGUCUCUUUGCAGAUUCUACAGUCGAUAACUUGAUCCUGAGGGUCCAAGUCAUAUGUGGCAGCAGGUAGAUACCGAUUUGUGUCCAUGUCAUUCACGACUAUGUGGUCGAGUUCCAAGGAAGUUGACAGCUUCUGCUCCGUCUUCCACUACGAUUCAAAUCGCACACAGUGUGCUCUAUAAUGGCCAAGCUCACCACAUCUGAUAGAAGAACCAUGCUUGAGCUAGUGGGACCGAUAGGGGCAUCUAGCCGAGGAAGAAGGAACAAUUUUAAAGGAGCAGGCCCAAUGGACCGAGUAUAAGCUCCAUUAAAAUUUGAGCACUCGGUUGGUGAGGCCUUGAAGAGAUCACUCCAUUUACGCACCGUACCAGAACCAGCUACACUUGGUGGUGAAGGGUUUUUAAUGAGAUUAAAUGCCAGGUUGCAAGGGAUACGAGAUGGAUCUUUGAAAAGGGGCCUUGGCUGAAGAGAUCUACUGAUGACAUCACUAUGGUUCAACCCAAAUGGUGCUCUACCCAAAGAAACGACACUUGCCCCACUGAGAAGAACAGAUCCCUUCCCGGCAGAGUAUCCAGAGACUGAACUUGGACCCACAUUUCGAUCUCCUCUCCUGGUCCAUCCACCGGAACUUGCUAGGUGGUAGCGAGGAUGAUUGAAUAUCUACGCGCUAAAUAUUUAAGAAAGUGAAGGAAAGGAUUACAAUUUUCAUUUGGUUUCUUUCAAUUAACCAUUUCAAUUUUGCUUAUCUUCCUUGUAUGUUAAUCAAGUAAAUUCAAUUUAUACAUCUUUG
rnacentral:lncRNA from 1 species